GAAAUCCUUCCAUAGCUGCUUAAUAUUAUAUUUUGAUUAAGCUGAUAUUUCACUCGUGGGUGCGGGUGCCAGCAACUUACCUUGUAUUACAUACUCAAUUUGCCAUCAAUAAAACGUUUUGCAAAAUCCAAGCCCACCUUGUGAACCCAUCUGAAAAAGUAUAGUUUGUUUUUUAACAGACUUCUCAAUGGGCCUCCCAAAAUUGUCAAAUAUUUUCAAUUUCCAAACAACCCAACCCAUUUGAAGUUGGGGGGAAAAAUCGUCCUUUCUGAUGAAUUGGGCUUGCGAUUUGAUCAUCAUCACCGCUUGCUAAUGUAGGCUUUGGUUGCAGUUGCAGGUUUCUCACAAUUUGAGGAGGUUCGAACUUCCAUUUUGACUCCUUUCAAUAGGAUGGCUUUCUUGCGCCAACUAACGUGUUCAUAUGCACUAGACUUUUUGCCUCUGAACUCUUCUUCUUAGUAUUUUUUUUUUCCUCACACACGCUUGACAUUAGAAUAAAUUCUGCAUAAUUUCCCUUCAAGAAAAACCCCCAACAUUGUUAUUAACAGUUACGAAAGUUGCAUCAUAAAUCAUACAGAGUGAGGGUCCUCUCCUCCCUCGAGGGAUUAUUGUCUAUUUUAGCAAAAGCUUUAGAACUUUAGCUUGGGCGUCCAAACAAAUAAGAUUUCCCCCCUCUCCUGACUAAAGAAUUAAGCAAACACUGAUAUCUAUUACUAACACCAUUUUACACAAUCACCCAUGAAUUCAAACACAAACAGAACGUAUCAGAAGCCAAUCAGUAGAAUCAUGCCCAAGCUUUCCCACCUCCUCCUCAAUUAUUUACAAUACAACACCUUGACUCUUCUUAGCUGGCUUACUCAAAUGAAAUACAGGAUGCCUGCAUAGCCUCCUUACCCCUUUUCUCAAAUUCAGCCAAUCUCCAUGAUCAUAUUCGCUCUUACAUCCAUUUUCUAAGGUUCCCAUUUCACACGAAGAAGGGCUGCUGCCUGAAAUGGACUUUAAUUCCUCUUCGUCAUCAUUUUUCUUCUGAUAGCUCAGAUAUUUCUCCUUGGCAUUGGAUUCUAAAGUAUUCAUAGUAGCUGACGUCAAGAACUCGCCGGUGGUGGGUAGCUCAGGUGCACAAGCAUCCAGAGAUAUUUUACAGGGUUUGCUGCUUAAGUUUGGUUGACAGGGAUCAUUCUUCUCUCCUGGGGACUCUGAGCAUGCAGAAAUCAACCUAGCCUUGGCAGCUAAAUCCUCUCUUUCAUGAAGGUUCUUUAAGAUCAGCGUCUUAAGCAAGUUCAUUACUUGCACAGCAUGAAUCAAUGCCGUUAAAGGAUCGGCCAUCUGGGUCAUGUUGGGUGCAAAGACCAUAGCAAUAUUUCGGGCAUUCAUCUUAUUGUAUUGUUCAUGCUCCACGACAUCUGCCAUCAAAUUGAUGGCCCAAUCAAGAAGUGCAGCUUCUGUUGGAGGAAGUAACUUUACAAGUUGAGUGCAGUCAUCUUCAGUAUUGCAGUGCAUCACCUGUUCUGCUGUAAGAGAAUCAAGUACCCCAGAAGGCAGUUCUCUAAACCAUGCCUUUAUUAAACCUGCCAAACAAUGAACGUCUAUUCCACGUGGCACUACACCUUUGUUUAGCUGGUCUCUAACAUACUCCUCAUGGCUAUUCUCAGCAUUUAUUCGGAAUAUUCCCUCUGCCUUAAGGCCUCCUUCAACAUAUAGUCGUUUUUGCAUCAUGAGAAGGAUAGUUGGCACACUGUUCCCUUUGUCAUCGUAAGUACACUGCAUAGACUUGGCAGACACUCCAAAUACAUUUGCACUGGCACUGGGCACCUUCCUGGGAACUUCAGGCUCAAAUUCAGUAGGCAAGCCAAGGAAACCGUUGAAGCGGUCGAAAGUCACGUGAGAGACGUGCCUAACAUCAGUAGGCCAGCUAAUAUCCAUGGAAGAAACAUCCUCCCUCUCCACACUGCACGUAACGAGUGACUUCCUUAACGCCGCCACCAAAAUAUCAAGAAUAGCGAACUGAUUAGUCCCUUGUCUACCUCGCUCAUUUCCUCCUCCUCUUCCUCCAAAUCUCGAGCCGGGGCUAAUAAAUGGAGUCGAUAUCGGGUUUCUCAAAGCGCCAUUAUAUUCCUCGUCUUCAUACUCAUCGUCGCCCUCCUCCUCUUCUACUUCUUCGUCGUCAUCUUCGAGAAAUGGACUCGGCGGAGGAACUGUGUUGAAUUCGGUGAGUCCAACGAUUCCACAAGAUUUGGAUCGAAAAAGCCGAGUCAUGUUGACUGGUCUCUUUAUAUUUUCCAGCUGAGGAUUGAACAAAUACGGAGAGAGAGAGAGAGAGAAGAGAGCAUUGGCUUUAGCCUUUUUAGUCAUGUUUAAUGAGGUUAUGGGGCAGUGUUGUAUAGCAAUGGCGUGAGAAUUAGAGAAGGAAAAAGGCUAACCAGAAAGGGCUAGUGUUGAUGCUCUUGUCUCUUUAAUUUGCAGUGUUUUCCCCUGCUGUACCUUUCUGCUAUAUUGCUCGAAUUUAAUUGCUGUAGUUACUGUUAUUCAUCUACUUUGCCACUUCUACCACAUACUGCUGCCCUUCAACUUUGAAUUUCUUUUCUCUUGUUACUUUUUUCCUUAAUUAAUAUAUAAUUACUUCCCCUUCUCCUCCUCUUCUCCUCCUCCUCCUCCCUCCUCUUUAUAAUCCAUCAAACAUAAUAAAGUUGCCUGGCAUUCUGUACAAGGCCUAGUUCUAUAUGAUUUUCAACAUGCAAAUUGUCAACUUGUAUACAUCAAUAUAUGACUAUUGACUAGCUUUAUAAGGGAAUUGGAUUUUGUAGUGAAAAAUUAGUUAUCUCAUGAUCUGCAGAUGCAUUUUUCAUAAUCAAUUUGCCAUGUGUUCUGAUGUUAUUGUAAGAAAUUGGAUUUGACCAGAGAGCAUAUUUAAUAUAGUGAAUCUUUUAAGGGAAACAAGUAAACUGCUAGUGUUGUUUCAAUUAGUUACAGUAUGAUGCACAUGGCAAUUUUGGUUGCAUAUAAGGGAAAUCUGUCGGUGAAUUGAAGCUAUAGAAAUUGCUUAAUCUGCAUUGGAAAGAGUUUUGAGUAAUGUUGUUAUAUGGGUCCUCUGCAUUUGAAUUUUGAAGUGUGUUCAAUGAAUUCCUAUGCUGAAUGUUCAGCCAAGUUACACUUGCAGAAUGGGUUUGUGCAAUUGCAGAAUUCCAUAUCACAACCUAAUCUAAAAGAUCCCAACUGUUUCUGCUUCACACUAUUUCAUUUGCGUUCAGAGCAAAUCCUAGUCCCACGUAACGCCUGCCGGGCUGUUCUGGAGCUUUAUGUUUCAUUUCAUGGAAAUGAUGAGUCUUCGUACUCAAGUCCACUAAGUUCAUACCUGAGAAUGAACAAUAUCUCUUUGCAAGGUAAUGGUGCUUCAAGAGAGGUAUUUUUGACAAUAGAUGGGGCUAG
rnacentral:misc_RNA from 1 species